AAACCAGAAUCACAGAUAACAUAUUCACUUUUAUUGUUAAAUUAAAUACUGAAAUGAUAGGCUAAGUGCAGUUAACAUGUUUAUAAUGUAAAUAUUAAGUGAUUGGAAAGUGUUACUGAUUAUUGAAGCAAGUGAUAUUUUAAAAUACUUGGAGCGCAAGGAACAUCAAAAUAUAAUGCUAUCUGUUAAGACUUGCAUGUUCUGGGUCUACUAGCUUUAGCCAGUUUCUUAGUUCAGGGGUCCUUGACAGCUGAUGAUACUUCAGAAUCUACGUCUGAGAGCAAGGGGAAUUAAUAUUCAUCGCUACAAAUGCUUUAUACGUGAUAUUACUUUAAUGUCACGUCAUUCUGCUGUCUGAUAUCCUAUCUCCACUAAAAACACUAGAAUCUCAAAAAGCCUUAAAAAUGCUGUCGGUGAAAACAUUCUUUGCACUGAUGAUCCUCGUCGCUCUUAUCACUGACCCUUGCCUCACCGUAAUGGCUGCCAAGCGUGAUGGAUCAUCAGAAUCGUCAGAGUCAUCGCAGUCAUCAGAGUCAUCUGAGUCGCAUCGUGGCCGUCACAGGUCACGCUUCAACACGUCAGAUGGCGGCCAUGAUGACAACACGAUACCACAUGUUUCUCACUACUGACAUGCUUUUUUUAUAUAAAAAUCUGGACUGGGCCAUGAAGGGAUUAAGGAAGAACAACAAAAAGACUUAUCCUGUACACAGGCGUAUAUGAUAAUAAACCAUAAAUUUCUGUCCUCA